AACGGCGAGUGAAGCGGCAACAGCUCAAAUUUGAAAUCUGGCCUCGGCCCGAGUUGUAAUUUGUAGAGGAAGCUUUUGGCGCGGCACCUUCUGAGUCCCCUGGAACGGGGCGCCAUAGAGGGUGAGAGCCCCGUAUAGUUGGAUGCCUAGCCUCUGUAAAGCUCCUUCGACGAGUCGAGUAGUUUGGGAAUGCUGCUCAAAACGGGAGGUAAAUUUCUUCUAAAGCUAAAUACCGGCCAGAGACCGAUAGCGGCACAAGUA
rnacentral:rRNA from 1 species